ensembl:Y_RNA Y_RNA Y RNA
GUCUGAUCCAAGUGAAGUGAUGUUUACAACUAAUUGAUCAUGACCAGUUACAGAUUUCUUCGUUUCUUCUCCAAUUCCACAGUCUUCACUUGACUAGCCUUAA